AGGGGGUCUCUGAGGGGUUUCAGAGGAGUCUCAGUGGUUUUUGAGGGGUCUCUGAGGGGUCUCAGGGAUCUCUGAGAGGUUUCUGAGGUGUCUCACGGGUUUCUGAGGGGGUCUCUGAGGGGUCUCAGGGUUUUUUGAGGGGUCUCAUUGGUUUCUGAGGGGUCUCAUCCGUGCUCUCUCCCUUCCUCCUGGAGCCCUGGACCGGAUGAAGACGUUGGACAGGGACGCCUCCAUCCGCUGCCUGGCGGCUCAGACCGCUUUGCUUCUCGACUCCCUGAGGCAGCGGCGGCGGCCACCGCGCGGGUUCCUGCGCGGGCUGUGCCGCUGGUGCCGCUGAGCCGCGACGGGGGACGCCGACACCCGCCGGAUCCUCCUCGGCUGUGGAAAGCCCGCCCUCCUUUCCCGAGACUCAAAAUGAAAGGUGGAGAGACGCCCCCCAGGCCUGGGGAAGCUGCUGGGAUUGUUUUUCACGCCAUUUUAGAAGGAAAAUGCAGUUUUAUGGCUCUGGAUGUGCCCGCUUGGAGCUCAAGAAAGGUCAGAGCUUUGGUGGUG
rnacentral:lncRNA from 1 species